rnacentral:lncRNA from 1 species
AAAAAAAUUUAGAUAAGUUAACUAAGAUAUCUGACCAAUACAAAGUUUGGAGGGC